UGUGGGAGCGAGCCUGCUCGCGAUGAGGCCGGCACAUUCAAAACAUGUCGCCUGUCAGACCGUCAUCGCGAGCAGGCUCGCUCCCACA
rnacentral:misc_RNA from 1 species